CAAUUUAAAGCUUAAGUAGUAAAGUAUUUUAUUUACAUUAAAAAGAAAUAUGUGCAAAUCAUUUUAAAUUGA
rnacentral:tRNA from 1 species